rnacentral:rRNA from 1 species
UACAGAGGGGCAAGCGUUGUUCGGAAUUACUGGGCGUAAAGCGUGCGCAGGCGGUUUUGUAAGCCGGAUGUGAAAUCCCCGGGCUUAACCUGGGAAUGGCGAUGGAGACUGCAAGGCUAGAAUCUGGCAGAGGGGGUAGAAUUCCACGUGUGAGCAGUGAAAUGCGUAGAGAUGUGGAGGAACACCGAUGGCGAAGGCAGCCCCUGGGUCAAGAUUGACGCUCAUGCACGAA